rnacentral:lncRNA from 1 species
GGCUCCCUUUUGAGCUUUGUGAGUCAAGUAUCCUUCUGAGUGUUCCACCUGAUGCUCCAUGAAUUGUGAAGUUUUACACCCUGGCUGGUGGGAGCAUGAGCCAUUCCUAGGCCUGUGCCUUCACAUGCCCAGUUGGUCUUCUGGAAUUUGAUCCUGGUUAAUGGUCUGGUUGUCAAGAGAGAAGAAACUUGGGCCAGCUCCUGUUCAGUUCAAACUGGUUGAGACCACUGACACUUCAACGGAGCCUGUGCAAGUGCCCGAGAGGUGGCCUUUUGACUUCAGAAGGCCCAAAGUUCCACCCUUAUGUUAUGCUAAUGCCGCCUUUCUAUACAUAUGUCCUAUGAAAUACUGUGAACCCUGUGCAGAAAGAACCUGUUACUUCAUUUUCCCCCACUGCCAAUCACCUUUCCUCACCCUGUGUCCCUAACCCAUAAAUAUCCCUCAGCCUUAUCUUCAGGGAAGUGGAUUUGAAAACUAUUCUCCCACCUCCGCACUUGGUGUCCUUGGGAAUAAAUUCUUUCCCUCUUACAAAACUA